UACGUAGGGUGCGAGCGUUGUCCGGAAUUAUUGGGCGUAAAGAGCUUGUAGGCGGUUUGUCGCGUCUGCUGUGAAAUCUCAAGGCUCAACCUUGAGCUUGCAGUGGGUACGGGCAGACUAGAGUGUGGUAGGGGAGACUGGAAUUCCGUGGUGUAGCGGUGAAAUGCGCAGAUAUCAGGAGGAACACCAAUGGGCGAAGGCAGCUCGCUGGGACGGUACUGACGACUGGAGAACGCGAAAGCGUGGGGAGCAAACAGG
rnacentral:rRNA from 1 species